CACAAACGACCAAUGCCAAGUUGUUUGGUAAAAGAAUUAAACAAACAAAUCCGUUAGGAUUCACAUCAAAAAACUUUUGGUAACAGCCUAAUGGAAUUUCAAGAUAAAUCCACUGGGGCGUAACACCUUAAAUCUGGCUCGAGUCUCUUCCAAAUAUGAACCGUCUUACCCAGUCAGAGAGAACCAAUGCCCUUGUACGCCAACUGACUUGUUUGCUAGCAUACACAGAAUACCAUAGCCACUGACUGCUAUGACCAAUUGAAACCCGAUCUCCUGGAAGUUGUGCUGCUGUUUGCUCUCCUCCCAAAGGUGCAAACUGUCCCAAAUGUCGGUACCUGAAUGGG
rnacentral:misc_RNA from 1 species